AAACUGAAGAGUUUGAUCCUGGCUCAGAUUGAACGCUGGCGGAAUGCUUUACACAUGCAAGUCGAGCGGCAGCACGGGGGUAACCCUGGUGGCGAGCGGCGAACGGGUGAGUAAUACAUCGGAACAUGCCCAGUCGUGGGGGAUAACACUUCGAAAGAAGUGCUAAUACCGCAUACGUCCUGAGGGAGAAAGCGGGGGAUCGCAAGACCUCGCGCGAUUGGAGUGGCCGAUGUCAGAUUAGCUAGUUGGUGGGGUAAAGGCCUACCAAGGCAACGAUCUGUAGCUGGUCUGAGAGGAUGAUC
rnacentral:ncRNA from 1 species